GUUAUAGGGACAAGUGAAUAAGUGCACAUGGCGGAUGCCUUGGCGAUUACAGGCGAUGAAGGACGUAGUAGCUUGCGAUAAGCUGCGGGGAGCUAGCAAACAAGCUUUGAUCCGCAGAUUUCCGAAUGGGGAAACCCACCCUUUUAGGGUAUCACUCACUGAAUACAUAGGUGUGUGAGGCGAACGCGGCGAACUGAAACAUCUAAGUAGCUGCAGGAAAAGAAAUCAACCGAGAUUCCCAAAGUAGUGGCGAGCGAAAUGGGAAGAGCCUGUACGUGAUAGUCGUUUUGAUAGUGGAAUGCUCUGGAAAUGGCAGCCAUAGCGGGUGAUAGCCCCGUACACGAAAUCAAAGCGGUGGUACUAAGCGUACGACAAGUAGGGCGGGACACGAGAAAUCCUGUCUGAAUAUGGGGGGACCAUCCUCCAAGGCUAAAUACUCGUAAUCGACCGAUAGUGAACCAGUACCGUGAGGGAAAGGCGAAAAGAACCCCGGGAGGGGAGUGAAAUAGAUCCUGAAACCGUGUGCAUACAAACAGUAGGAGCCUCGUAAGGGGUGACUGCGUACCUUUUGUAUAAUGGGUCAGCGACUUACAUUCAGUGGCAAGGUUAACCGAAUAGGGAAGCCGUAGAGAAAUCGAGUCCGAACAGGGCGCUAGUCGCUGGGUGUAGACCCGAAACCAAGUGAUCUACUCAUGGCCAGGAUGAAGGUGCGGUAACACGCACUGGAGGUCCGAACCCACUAAUGUUGAAAAAUUAGGGGAUGAGCUGUGGGUAGGGGUGAAAGGCUAAACAAACUUGGAAAUAGCUGGUUCUCUCCGAAAACUAUUUAGGUAGUGCCUCAAGUAUCACCAUCGGGGGUAGAGCACUGUUAUGGCUAGGGGGUCAUCGCGACUUACCAAACCAUUGCAAACUCCGAAUACCGAUGAGUGCGAGCUUGGGAGACAGACGUCGGGUGCUAACGUCCGGCGUCAAGAGGGAAACAACCCAGACCGCCAGCUAAGGUCCCAAAGAUUGGCUAAGUGGAAAACGAAGUGGGAAGGCUAAAACAGUCAGGAUGUUGGCUUAGAAGCAGCCAUCAUUUAAAGAAAGCGUAAUAGCUCACUGAUCGAGUCGUCCUGCGCGGAAGAUGUAACGGGGCUAAGCCAGUCACCGAAGCUGCGGAUAUCCGUAAGGAUAUGGUAGGAGAGCGUUCUGUAAGCCUGCGAAGGUGUCUUGUAAAGGAUGCUGGAGGUAUCAGAAGUGCGAAUGCUGACAUGAGUAGCGAUAAUGGGGGUGAAAAGCCCCCACGCCGUAAGCCCAAGGUUUCCUGUUCAACGUUCAUCGGAGCAGGGUGAGUCGGCCCCUAAGGCGAGGCAGAGAUGCGUAGCUGAUGGGAAGCAGGUUAAUAUUCCUGCACCGUCGUAUGAUGCGAUGGGGGGACGGAUCGCGGAAGGUUGUCUGACUGUUGGAAUAGUCAGUUUCUGGUUCAUAGAAGG
rnacentral:rRNA from 1 species